rnacentral:lncRNA from 1 species
AUUCUUAAGGAAUUCUAUUUGUUUGUAAUAUUUUGGAGAUAGUAAAGUUAUCAUCUGGUGUUAGUGCCUGAGGACGUAGGUAUAAUUUACCGAACCUCGUUAAAACUCUUGUGUUCUUUCUUGUCCUAUUUUUCUUUCAAUAUUUGAGGGUAUAAUAGUAAUAUUUAAUUGUGCUAUUAAAUUACUAUAGAAGGGAUAUUCUGUCUAAGGAAAGACUUGGUAUUUAAGAGAUCCAUGUGAUCCACCUCUCUUUCCUGGGAAUUGAACUUUGUGUGAUUUUUUAGUACAAUAAUUUACACGCUUCCGACCCUAUUGGAACAACAAGUGGUAUCAAGAGCCGAAGGUUAAUCGUAGUAUGCUCUGUGGUUGCAGUUUAAACUGAUCUUCCACAUCAGAAAAGAUUUCCUUAGGUAUAUUGAAAGAUUAUGGAGAAAACGGUCGGUGUAGGAGCUUCAACAUCGUCCAUGUGGACAAGACCGACAAUUACAAAUGCAAGACUGGCCGUGGAGAUCUUUGAUGGCACAGGCCAUUUUGGUAUGUGGUAAAGUGAGGUUCUAGAUGCCCUUUUUCAGCAGGGUCUAGACAUUGCCAUUGAUGAAGAGAAAAAACUAAGAGAGAAAGAUUGGUUGGGAUGGUUGAAAU